rnacentral:tRNA from 1 species
UCAAUGGUAGUUCGGUGGUAGAAUUCCUGCCUUCCGUAGGGGAAAUCCAGGUUUGAUUCCUGGCCAAUGGA